rnacentral:rRNA from 1 species
GUAACGCGUAUGCAACUUUCCUGUAACUGGAGGAUAGCCCCUGGAAACGGGGAUUAAUACUGCGUAAUACCUAAAUACCGCAUGGUAUUAAGGUCAAAUCUACGGAGGUUACAGAUGGGCAUGCGUGCCAUUAGCUAGAUGGNUAGGUAACGGCUUACCAUGGCAAUGAUGGCUAGGGGUUCUGCAAGGAAGGGCCCCCACACUGGUACUGAGACACGGACCAGACUCCUACGGGAGGCAGCAGUGAGGAAUAUUGGUCAAUGGAGGCAACUCUGAACCAGCCAAGCCGCGUGAAGGAAGACUGUCCUAUGGAUUGUAAACUUCUUUUGUGGCAGAAUAAACUACCGUACUCGUACGGUAUUGCAUGUAUGCCAUGAAUAAGCAUCGGCUAACUCCGUGCCAGCAGCCGCGGUAAUACGGAGGAUGCAGGCGUUAUCCGGAUUUAUUAGGUUUAAAGGGUGUUCAGGCUGCCUGGUAAGUCAGGGGUGAAAGUCGGUUGCUCAACGAUCGAAUUGCCUUUGAAACUGUCAGGCUCGAGUAUGGAUGCGGUAGGCGGAAUGUGUAGUGUAGCGGUGAAAAUGCAUAGAUAUUACACAGAACACCGAUUGCGAAGGCAGCUUACCAAACCAGCACUGACGCUGAAGCACGAAAGCGUGGGGAGCGAACAGGAUUAGAUACCCUGGUAGUCCACGCCGUAAACUUUGCUCACUCGCUGUUGGCGAUAGACAGUCAGCGGCCAAGGGAAACCGAUAAGUGAGCCACCUGGGGAGUACGGCCGCAAGGUUGAGACUCAAAGGAAUUGACGGGGGCCCGCACAAGCGGUGGAACAUGUGGUUUAAUUCGAUGAUACGCGAGGAACCUUACCUGGGCUUAAAUGUGAAGUGCAUUGAUUGGAAACAAUCAUUUCCUUCGGGACCCUUUACAAGGUGCUGCAUGGUUGUCGUCAGCUCGUGCCGUGAGGUGUCGGUUUAAGUCCCAUAACGAGCGCAACCCCUAUUGUUAGUUACCAGCGCGUAAAGGCGGGGACUCUAGCGAAACUGCCGGUGUAAACCGCGAGGAAGGUGGGGAUGACGUCAAAUCAGCACGGCCCUUAUGUCCAGGGCUACACACGUGUUACAAUGGCCGGUACAGCGGGCAGCUAGGCAGCGAUGUCAUGCUAAUCCCG